rnacentral:rRNA from 1 species
AUUGAACGCUAGCGGGAUGCUUUACACAUGCAAGUCGAACGAGUGGCGGCCGGGUGAGUAAUAUAACGGAACGUGCCCAGUAGCGGGGGUUAACUACUCGAAAGAGUGGCUAAUUCAUCAUACUAUUGGAUCGGGCGAUAGGGGAUUAGCUAGUUGGGUGGGUAAAGGCUGACAAGGGCAACGAUGCGUAGCCGGGUUGAGAGGACGACCAGCCUAACGGGGACUAGGACGCGGCCCAUACUCCUACGGUAGGCAGCAGUGGGGAAUUUGGGACAAUGGGGGCAACCCGGGUACAGCCAUGCCGCGUGUAUGAGAGGGCCUUCGGGUUGUAAAGUACUUUUGGCAGAGAAGCGGUAGCUGCAGAAGAAGCACCGGCUAACUACGUGCCAGCAGCCGCGUUAAUUC